UACGUAGGGGGCAAGCGUUGUCCGGAUUUAUUGGGCGUAAAGAGCUCGUAGGCGGCCGUCCACGUCGGAUGUGAAAGCUCGGGGCUCAACCCUGAGAGGCCAUUCGAUACGGGACGGCUAGAGGCAGGUAGGGGAGAUUGGAAUUCCUGGUGUAGCGGUGAAAUGCGCAGAUAUCAGGAGGGACACCGGUGGCGAAGGCGGAUCUCUGGGCCUUGCCUGACGCUGAGGAGCGAAAGCUGGGGGAGCGAACAGG
rnacentral:rRNA from 1 species